GCACCUCCAUGUUCGGCCUCUUUGUAGAACACGGACCAUAUGUGGUGAAUAAAAACAUGACUGUCAGUUUGAGGGAUUACGCCUGGACAAAGAAAUAUUCGGUUUUGUACAUCGACAAUCCAGUUGGAACCGGUUUCAGCUUCACUGAUGAUGAUCAAGGUUUUGCUCAAAACCAGGAUGAUGUCGGCAGAGAUCUGUACAG